rnacentral:rRNA from 1 species
GAUGAACGCUGGCGGCGUGCCUAAUACAUGCAAGUCGAGCGAACAGACGAGGAGCUUGCUCCUCUGACGUUAGCGGCGGACGGGUGAGUAACACGUGGAUAACCUACCUAUAAGACUGGGAUAACUUCGGGAAACCGGAGCUAAUACCGGAUAAUAUAUUGAACCGCAUGGUUCAAUAGUGAAAGACGGUUUUGCUGUCACUUAUAGAUGGAUCCGCGCCGCAUUAGCUAGUUGGUAAGGUAACGGCUUACCAAGGCAACGAUGCGUAGCCGACCUGAGAGGGUGAUCGGCCACACUGGAACUGAGACACGGUCCAGACUCCUACGGGAGGCAGCAGUAGGAAAUCUUCCGCAAUGGGCGAAAGCCUGACGGAGCAACGCCGCGUGAGUGAUGAAGGUCUUCGGAUCGUAAAACUCUGUUAUUAGGGAAGAACAAAUGUGUAAGUAACUAUGCACGUCUUGACGGUACCUAAUCAGAAAGCCACGGCUAACUACGU